GCAGGGUAGAUUUCCCGGCUUCAAUGGCCGCUCUGGUUCUUUCACCGUCGGACCGAUGGACAGUUUUUUUCGACGUUUUUCCACAACAAGAUACUCACAGGAGGAACACAUUGCUGAAGGACAACCUCUUGAAGAAACGUGAUGAACAUCUCUGCUCAUCUCCCAAAGCAUCUUUUCUGCCUGGUUGCCUCCCGGAUUGAUUACUGCUACUCUCUCCUCGUCGGCCUCCCUCACAAAUCCCUCCAUAAGCUUGAACUGGUCCAGAAUUCAGGCGCCCACAUCGUCACUAUAACCUCCUUCACCCCCUGCACUUCCAUCUAGAAUCAAAUUCAAACCCUUGCUGGAUACAUUCCAAAGCCAUCCACAUCCACCCUCACCCCACCCCUGUCUGACCUCUUCAACCUUGCCACCUCCUCUCGCUCCCGCCGAUGCACCUCCUCCGUCCACCUCACCGCCUCACCUCCCCACCUCGGCACCAUGGGUUGCGGAACUUUCAGCAGGUCUUGUCCCAAACUUUGGAACUUUGGUCCUGAAAUCAAAUGUUGUUAAUUUUUCAGAUGGCUAUAAUAUUGUUUUCCAUACUUUAGCCAACUAGUCCCAACUCUUUGAGUAGAUUCUCUAAUAUUAUUGGAUGUUGUCAUAAUUUGCGUACAUGCUUCUGCAGUUUAUAUGAAUGAUUGACAACUUGUUUCAAUAUUAAAACUAUUAAUGUA